GCCGCGGUAAUUUGACCGUGCGAAGGUAGCAUAGUCAGUAGUCUUUUAAUUGAAGGCUUGAAUGAAAGGUUGGACGAGGGAUGAGCUGUCUCCUUUACGUAAUUUGAAUUUAACUUUUGAGUGAAAAGGCUCAAAUUAUUUAGUGGGACGAUAAGACCCUAUAAAACUUUAUAUAAGUUUAAUUUGGCUUACAAUUUGAGUGAAAAGUAGCUUUAUUAGGUUUAUAUUUCGUUGGGGAGAUGUAGAUAUAAUGUGUAACUGUUUGUUUAAUUUAAUAAUUAUAAUUAGUGUGUGAUCCUUCUUUGUGGAUUAAAAGUAUAAGUUACUUUAGGGAUAACAGCGUGAUUUUCUUUGAGAGUUCUUAUCGACAAGAGUAGUUGCGACCUCGAUGUUGAAUUAAAAUUUCAGUUAGGUGUAGCCGUCUAGCUGGUAGGUCUGUUCGACCUUUAAAAUUUUACAUGAUUUGAGUUCAAA
rnacentral:rRNA from 1 species